ACCCAACUGACGAGUCCCAAGUAGGGCGAAACGCGCGUCUUGGAU
rnacentral:hammerhead_ribozyme from 1 species